rnacentral:lncRNA from 13 species
AGGGGCAUUGAGCAUGCGCAGACCCUUUCCGCCCACUUCCGGUGGAGCAGUUAACCACCGCGCGAGUCGAGUGUGAGCCUAAAACUCGAAAACCAGGGCAUUCUGGGUUGAGUGUGGGUUUCAGUUCUGCGCCCGCGGGGUUCCGUGGGUCCUGCACAGCAUCAGGCCUGAGCCGCCGGUCCAGCUGCUCCAGCUUGCUGAAGUAGAAACAAACUCAGAGAAAGUUGG